AGCUUUGCGCAGUGGCAGUAUCAUAGCCAAUGAAGUGGGAUUAUUGCUAAUUGAAAACUUUUCCCAAUACCCCGCCAUGACGACUUGCAAUAUAGUGAGCAUUGGCAAUUUUUGAUUCAGUCUCUACGGAGACU
rfam:Otolemur garnettii contig078001, whole genome shotgun sequence.